GACAGAGGAGGCAAGCGUUGUUCGGAAUCAUUGGGCUUAAAGGGCGUGCAGGCGGCGGCGCAAGUGUCGAGUGAAAUCCCAUCGCUCAACGAUGGAACGGCUCGGCAAACUGCGUCGCUUGAGGUCGGUAGAGGUGCGCGGAACUCUAGGUGGAGCGGUGAAAUGCGUAGAUAUCUAGAGGAACGCCUGAGGCGAAAGCGGGGCACUGGGCCGAUUCUGACGCUGAUACGCGAAAGCGUGGGGAGCAAACAGG
rnacentral:rRNA from 1 species